rnacentral:lncRNA from 1 species
UUCGAUUGAAACCUUGCUCAUCCAUAAGGCAUCAAAUUUAUACUUGAAGUAAAAAGGUUUUCAAGCAUGGAUUUAUUGCUAAAUUUCUCCUGUUUCAGAGAAAGUCCAACCUAGUGAAUAAUACCGUGCAAUAAAACUGAAAAGACACAGAAAAUAAAUAAAAUCUUAUUCUAUUCAGAACACAUUUAUGAGAAGAGAACUCUUCAGAUAAAAUUUUAUGAAGAACAUCCUUCCCUCAUCUUCCUAGCUUCCCAUCUCUCCCUUAUUUCCUUCUUCCCCAUCGAACAUGUCACCAUCGAUUGAUACACCCCGUUUGCCCCUUCUAGCGUGCGCAUGGCAUCUGGCGCCACCAUCGUACCCACCACAGGGCAGCCGACCUCCCCAGCCUCCUAUCUAGCCCCGGCAACCACUCUCCUGAAGAAGAGUCCGUUGUUGGAGCAUCG